rnacentral:tRNA from 1 species
UUAAUUGAAACCAAAAAGAGGUAAAUCACUGUUAAUGAUAAAAUUGAGUCCCACUCCAAUUAAA